GGGGCCGAUCGGUUUCGACCGUGCAUGAUCCGUUGAUCGUGGCGCGUCCAGGAGCAUGCUGGCCUGGUAAAAAGUAUGCAAAAAAUUGAUUGCUGAGAGCAACUACGCUCUCGCGGCCUAAUACAGGCUGCGCGUUCCGGUCUCAACGCCUGCUAGAGACCGGAACGAAGACAGCAGGCUGGCCUUGCCGCGGCGCACCCGGGCGGCAAGGCGAGAAAACUCCGGGCGCUGGACCAAAGCGGAUGUUGCUGGUGGCAGCCGCGCGGUCGAGAUCAAAUCACCCGAUACACGCGUAGAGGCGACCAUCUGACUGUCACGGCACGGGGGUUCAAUUCCCCCCGGCUCCAUUC
rnacentral:tmRNA from 1 species